AACGCAAUAAGUAUCCCGCCUGGGGAGUACGGUCGCAAGACUGAAACUCAAAGGAAUUGACGGGGACCCGCACAAGCAGCGGAGCAUGUGGUUUAAUUCGAAGCAACGCGAAGAACCUUACCAAGGCUUGACAUCCCUUGACCGCCAUGGAAACAUGGCUUCCCUUCGGGGCAAGGAGACAGGUGGUGCAUGGUUGUCGUCAGCUCGUGUCGUGAGAUGUUGGGUUAAGUCCCGCAACGAGCGCAACCCUUAUCAUUAGUUGCCAGCACUUCGGGUGGGAACUCUAAUGAGACUGCCGGGGAUAACUCGGAGGAAGGUGGGGACGACGUCAAAUCAUCAUGCCCCUUAUGUCUUGGGCUACACACGUGCUACAAUGGCCGGUACAGAGGGCUGCAAACCCGUGAGGGGGAGCGAAUCCCAAAAAGCCGGUCUCA
rnacentral:rRNA from 1 species